CAGAAAUAUUUGGAGGUGCACCUCGUCAACAGAACCCUACCAGUAGCUGCCGUACUGCUUGCUUUUGCAUUUCACUAUCAUAUUUGCAGUUUUGUGGCCAAGAGGUAGUUCUUUCAUCACUGUCAUUUUAUGGAAGUAACAGCGCUCACAUCGAUCCAUCAGUUAGAGUUUUGCCUUUUGAAUACUUCACCUCAGAACGGACACAGUAAAGUUAAAGCAGGCUAAUGUUUUACACGUAGAGCAACACACAAAAAGAAUAUAUUCAGUGGACUCUUGGCUCCAGCGGUACCUGUGAAAUACCCUAAAGGACCUCACAUAGGACCCCAGCUGGUCAGGCUAGAGAGAGGCUCCCUUGUGCCCUUACAACUCACUUCUUUCAGUCCAAUGCCUUUGCGGUUUUCUGAAGAUUCGGAGAAUCGUAUUUUUGCAUCUGCUCAGGUAUGUCAUACUACUGUAAGGCUCUCAGUUGCAAGUGGUAAGGCAGAAACUGAAGGACCCAGGGAUG